AUUGAACGCUGGCGGCAGGCUUAACACAUGCAAGUCGAGCGGAGAUGAGGUGCUUGCACCUUAUCUUAGCGGCGGACGGGUGAGUAAUGCUUAGGAAUCUGCCUAUUAGUGGGGGACAACAUUCCGAAAGGAAUGCUAAUACCGCAUACGUCCUACGGGAGAAAGCAGGGGAUCUCCGGACCUUGCGCUAAUAGAUGAGCCUAAGUCGGAUUAGCUAGUUGGUGGGGUAAAGGCCUACCAAGGCGACGAUCUGUAGCGGGUCUGAGAGGAUGAUCCGCCACACUGGGACUGAGACACGGCCCAGACUCCUACGGGAGGCAGCAGUGGGGAAUAUUGGACAAUGGGGGAAACCCUGAUCCAGCCAUGCCGCGUGUGUGAAGAAGGCCUUAUGGUUGUAAGCACUUUAAGCGAGGAGGAGGCUACUGAGACUAAUACUCUUGGAUAGUGGACGUUACUCGCAGAAUAAGCACCGGCUAACUCUGUGCCAGCCGCCGCCGUAACAC
rnacentral:rRNA from 1 species